rnacentral:rRNA from 1 species
GACGAACGCUGGCGGCGUGCCUAAUACAUGCAAGUUGAGCGCUGAAGGCUGGUACUUGUGCCAACUGGAUGAGCAGCGAACGGGUGAGUAACGCGUGGGGCAUCUGCCUUUGAGCGGGGGACAACAUGUGGAAACGAAUGCUACUACCGCAUAAAAACUUUAAACACAAGUUUUAAGUUUGAAAGAUGCAAUUGCAUCACUCAAAGAUGAUCCCGCGUUGUAUUAGCUAGUUGGUGAGGUAAAGGCCCACCAAGGCGAGGAUACAUAGCCGACCUGCGAGGGUGGGCGGCCACAUUGGGAAUGAGACACGCCCCAAAGUCCCUCGGGAAGGAGCCAUAGGGAAUCUUCGGCCAUGGACGGAAGUCUGACCGAGAAACGCCGAGUGAGGGUAGAAGGGUGUCGGGUCGUAAAAGUCUGUUGGUAGGGAAGAACGUUGGUGAGGGUGGAAAGCACAUCAAGUGACGGUACCUACAGAGAAAGCGACGGCUAACUACGUG